AGAGUAUGAUAUUGGUUUAGAAUAAAUGUUGGCGGCGUGUCUGAAUGAUGUAAGUUUUAUGAGAAUGGCACCUUUGGGUGCUUAGUAAAGAGGUGAAUGGGUGAGUAAUAUGUGUGUAAUUUAUUUUUGUGGUUGUGGGAUAACACCUUGAAAGAGGUGUUAAUAUUUAAUAGAGUUAUGUGAUAUAAGUUAUUUAAUGAAAGAUGGUUUUUGUUUGUAAGUUAUCGCCCAAAGAUGGACACGCGGUCUAUUAGUUAGUUGGUGAGGUAAUGGCUCACCAAGGUUGUGAUGGAUAGUUGGUUUGAGAGGGUGGUUGGCCAUAUUGGGAUUGAGAUAUGGCCCAGACUCCUACGGGAGGUAGUAAAUUGGAAUAAUCGACAAUGGGAGAAAUCCUGAUCGUGCGACGCCGCGUGAGCGAUGAAGGCUUUCGAGUUGUAAAGCUCUGUGUUAUGGGAAGAAAUCUGUCAGGUGAAUAAUUUGUCAGUCUGACGGUACCAUAAUAGAAAGCCCCGGCUAACUACGUGCCAGUAGUUGUGGUAAUACGUAGGGGGCAAGCGUUGCUCGGAAUUACUGGGCGUAAAGGGCAUACAGGCGGCUAUAUAAGUCGGGUGUGAAAUUUUUGGGUUUAAUCCAAGAUUUGCAUCCGAUACUGUGUAGCUUGAGAACAGGAGAGGAGAGUGGAAUAUGUGGUGUAGUGGUGAAAUGUGUAGAGAUUAUAUAGAAUAUUAGUGGUGAAGGUGGCUCUCUGGCCUGAUUCUGACGCUGACGUGUGAAAGCUAGGGUAGUGAAUGGGAUUAGAUAUCCCGGUAGUUUUAGUCGUAAACGAUGGGUACUAAGUGUAGGAGGUAAUUGAUUUCUUCUGUGCUGUAGUUAAUGUAUUAAGUACCCCGUUUGGGGACUACGACCGUAAGGUUAAAACUCAAAGUAAUUGAUGGGGCUCCGCACAAGCGGUGGAGCAUGUUGCUUAAUUUGAAGCAACGUGAAGAACUUUAUCCAGUGGCUUGACAUCCUCUGACAAUCGUGGAAAUAUGGUUUUCCCUUUGGGGACAGAGUGACAGGUGCUGUAUGGCAGUCGUCAGUUUGUGUUGUGAGAUGUUGGGUUAAGUUUUGUAAUGAGUGUAAUUUCUAUUUUUAGUUGUUAGUGUGUAAUGGUGGGGAUUUUAGAGAGAUUGUUGGUGAUAAAUUGGAGGAAGGUGGGGAUGACGUUAUGUCCUUAUGGCCCUUAUGCCCUGGGCUGUAUACGUGCUACAAUGGUCGGUACAACGGGUUGUGAAAUUGUGAGGUGGAA
rnacentral:rRNA from 1 species